rnacentral:rRNA from 1 species
AUUGAACGCUGGCGGCAGGCUUAACACAUGCAAGUCGAACGAGUGGCGGAAGGGUGAGUAAUGUCUGGGAAACUGCCUGAUGGAGGGGGAUAACUACUGGAAACGGUAGCUACUACCGCAUACCAUCGGAUGUGCCCAGAUGGGAUGAGCUAGUAGGGGGGGUAAAGGCUCACCUAGGUGACGAUCCCUAGCUGGUCUGAGAGGAUGACCAGCCACACUGGAACUGAGACACGGUCCAGACUCCUACGGGAGGCAGCAGUGGGGAAUAUUGCACAAUGGGCGCAAGCCUGAUGCAGCCAUGCCGCGUGUAUGAAGAAGGCCUUCGGGUUGUAAAGUACUUUCAGCGAGGAGGCGUUACUCGCAGAAGAAGCACCGGCUAACUCCGUGCCAGCAGCCGCGGUAAUAC